rnacentral:rRNA from 1 species
UGGGGAAUCUUGCGCAAUGGGCGAAAGCCUGACGCAGCCAUGCCGCGUGAAUGAUGAAGGUCUUAGGAUUGUAAAAUUCUUUCACCGGGGACGAUAAUGACGGUACCCGGAGAAGAAGCCCCGGCUAACUUCGUGCCAGCAGCCGCGGUAAUACGAAGGGGGCUAGCGUUGCUCGGAAUUACUGGGCAUAAAGGGAGCGUAGGCGGACAUUUAAGUCAGGGGUGAAAUCCCGGGGCUCAACCUCGGAAUUGCCUUUGAUACUGGGUGUCUUGAGUAUGAGAGAGGUGUGUGGAACUCCGAGUGUAGAGGUGAAAUUCGUAGAUAUUCGGAAGAACACCAGUGGCGAAGGCGACACACUGGCUCAUUACUGACGCUGAGGCUCGAAAGCGUGGGGAGCAAACAGG